GGGCCUCCGACUUCCGGGUUGGGGAGCGGUUAACGGUGCCUCUGCGGCGGGACAGGGGGACGGCAUUAAGUUCCGGGCCCGCCGACUUCCGGCCGUGUCUCCCGAGCGGCGCGGUGGCCUCACAGCGCAAGCGGAGCCGGCCCAGCAGUCAGGAACCAGGUGGUUCGCGCUGCGCGGCGGCCGCUGGUCCGUAGGCGCCCGUUCCUGCUCCGAGAAUGUCUGGGGGUCACCGAACCCUGAAGUGGGAGCAAAAUGUGAAGAACCUAAAGGAAAUGUAACCGCAGAUGUGUACGAACUAUGCAGAAACGAUUCAUUGGAAUCCUAGUAAGAAGGUCAGCACAUUAAAAAAUUAAACCUAAACAGCACGUGCAAGAUACAACGGAGGAGGGUAGGAGGAAACCAGAUUAUGUCUGACCGGGAAAACCUCAGUGUGGCUGGGAAAACAUUCACAUGUUCGCGAUGGCAGCUUUUCUGUGGCUGAAAAACUUGCCCUAAAGUGUGGGCAGAAGGAUUGUAGUAGGAGAGACGGUUUUCCCCAGGAAAACCUUGUGGUGGCCGCUUCAGUGGUCUCCCUGCUCCAUUCUCCACCAGAACCCGCACCACCUGCCCCCACUGCGGCUAGAUGAGGACUGAGUGGGGCGCAGUCACGUGGUGCCGGUCAGGACCCCAGCUUGCCGUCCUAUUCCGAGCCAGAUGGAGGAGCACCCUAUGUGGAACGGAGCCACACAGCCACCACUUCAGUCAGUGAUCUCCAAAGGGUGGUCAAGAUGAACUGCAGGGUCCUGGAAGAGCAUACUUAUUUUUAGCUUUUUAUAUCUUUUAUGUGUUGUAAUUUACAUAAGAUUAAAACAACAGCUCAUAAUAUCUGAGCAAGAAAUAUACACAGGUUGGUGUGCAUAACUCUAGUUCAACCAAAUAUAGGUACAUGAUAAAUAAUUCAUAGACAAAUCUACCAGUCCGCUUCAGGUACUCUCCCUGCUUGUGGUUUCCACACCUGAGCAUGAAUCAGAAUCACCUGAUGGCUCGUUGAAACAGAUUGCUGGACCAGCAGGGGCUGGUGCUUGGAGAUUUAGAUGUUGCCAGUGCUGCUGGUCCAGGAACCACACACUUGAGAGCCUCUGUUCUAAGCUGCAGCAAAAUGCCCCAUCCUGAGCACAGCAGGUUCCGACUUGAAGCCUCAGCUCACAUUGUAUCUUGAAAUGGUCCUCCUCCCCUGUGCUCAGGUUCUACACCAUCUUGAAAAUCCUUUGGCUUGUUAGCACCUCUGUUAGUCCUGCUUGCUGCAGCUGGCAGUGACCUUAUUCCUCAGAAUUUAGGUAGAACUAAGCCGAUACUCAGAAAAUUCUACUUUGCUUUACACUUAGUGUAAUUUCAACUUUACUACUAGGUUAUAAGCCAUUUAAACAUGAAGCCUACACUGGCAUUCCACAAAUGUUAUGUGUGAGUGAACAAGUGAUACCUGAGUUAGUUAAAAUCCUGAUGGAUAUUGUAAUAGCCAAAGACUGGACAUAAAUAUAAUAUCUAUAAAUAGGAGACUGGGUAAGAUCUGUAUUUUGCCAAUUAUCAAUGCAUUAUAUUUCAGCCUGAAAUUCAGAUUUCCUUGUCUGUUCUGUUAUUACGGAUCUGAGCCCCUUAUAUCUUUUGUGCUCUCUGGCAAGAGGUUAAGACUUGUCAAAAGAGGGCGCUGAAGAGACCCUGCUGGAGGAAGAACAUUUCUUCAUGGUUCUGUGUGUUAGAGCUGCAAACUUCAGCUCACAGGGCUUCUUCAGCACCCAGCUCUUUCCGUGCGCUCAGGCCAGCAGCACCCAGCAUCCACCAGCUUCCCAGGGUACCCCCUUGAGUAGUUUUGUAGCAAAGUGCCUCCAGUGAGACUCCUGGGAAAAAGCUUAACAUGGCACCCCUGGAAGGAUUUCCGACAAGUUCCACUAGUGCAGCCCCAGGAGGCUUGCCUACCAGUCAGUAAGCCACGCUGAUCCUCUUCCACAAGGUCCAGAUCUCAUCCCUGAGAACAAAGUGGCUCCUCACUGGGUGCUCCAUCAUAGCUCAGGGGAUGAUGGUUACCCCUGAUGUCUUGCUAUUCAUACAUUCUUUAUAGUCCCAUGUACUUCUUAGUAGCCAAUCCCUCCUUGCUUCAAUAUCCAGUAAUAGGUAAUACUUCUCUCUCUGUUCAGUUAAACCCUCUCUAUUCAAAUAACUGUAUGAUUUCUCUUCUCAUUGCACCCUGCCAAAUACAAGUAUCCACACAAUGGAGUACUAUGCAGCUAUGAAAAAGGAACAAGGACUUACUAGAGUGCUCUACAGCAUACACUGUUGAGUGAAAAGAGCAAGAUAAAGGAAAGUGUGUAAGUAUACUAUAGUUUAAGAAGGUUACAGGAUGGAAAUAUAUGUAGAGAGAGAUAUAACAACAUAUAAAAUGUAUUUUUGUUAUG